UAGCCAACGAGCCUCGGUAUCAGCUGGUAG
rnacentral:sRNA from 1 species